GGCCAGUUAGCUCAGUUGGUUAGAGUGUGGUGCUGAUAACACUAUGGUCCUGAGUUCAAUCCUUGUACUGGCCA